AGAGUUUGAUCAUGGCUCAGAACGAACGCUGGCGGCGUGGAUAAGACAUGCAAGUCGAACGGGACUAUUUCUAGUAGCAAUACCGGGAAUAGUUUAGUGGCGAACGGGUGCGUAACACGUGGGCAACCUGCCAAGAAGUGGGGGAUAGCUCGCCGAAAGGCGAAUUAAUACCGCAUGUGAUCAGGAAAGACAUCUUCCCAAAAUUAAAGUCGGGGCAACCUGACGCUUCUUGUGGGGCCCGCGGCCUAUCAGCUUGUUGGUGAGGUAACGGCUCACCAAGGCGGUGACGGGUAGCUGGUCUGAGAGGACGACCAGCCACACUGGGACUGAGACACGGCCCAGACACCUACGGGUGGCAGCAGUCGAGAAUUUUUCUCAAUGGGGGAAACCCUGAAGGAGCGACGCCGCGUGGAGGAUGAAGGUCUUCGGAUUGUAAACUCCUGUCAUUUGGGAACAAUGCGUGACGGUUAACUGCCGUCACGUUGAUAGUACCAGAAGAGGAAGAGACGGCUAACUCUGUGCCAGCAGCCGCGGUAAUACAGAGGUCUCAAGCGUUGUUCGGAUUCAUUGGGCGUAAAGGGUGCGUAGGCGGCGCGGUAAGUCGGGUGUGAAAUCUCGGGGCUUAACUCCGAAACUGCAUUCGAUACUGCCGUGCUUGAGGACUGGAGAGGAGACUGGAAUUUACGGUGUAGCAGUGAAAUGCGUAGAUAUCGUAAGGAAGACCAGUGGCGAAGGCGGGUCUCUAGACAGUUCCUGACGCUGAAGUACGAAGGCCAGGGGAGCAAACGGGAUUAGAUACCCUAGUAGUCC
rnacentral:rRNA from 1 species